UAGGGAAUCUUCGGCAAUGGACGCAAGUCUGACCGAGCAACGCCGCGUGAGUGAAGAAGGUUUUCGGAUCGUAAAACUCUGUUGUUAGAGAAGAACAAGGAUGAGAGUAGAACGUUCAUCCCUUGACGGUAUCUAACCAGAAAGCCACGGCUAACUACGUGCCAGCAGCCGCGGUAAUACGUAGGUGGCAAGCGUUGUCCGGAUUUAUUGGGCGUAAAGCGAGCGCAGGCGGUUUCUUAAGUCUGAUGUGAAAGCCCCCGGCUCAACCGGGGAGGGUCAUUGGAAACUGGGAAACUUGAGUGCAGAAGAGGAGAGUGGAAUUCCAUGUGUAGCGGUGAAAUGCGUAGAUAUAUGGAGGAACACCAGUGGCGAAGGCGGCUCUCUGGUCUGUAACUGACGCUGAGGCUCGAAAGCGUGGGGAGCAAACAGG
rnacentral:rRNA from 2 species